AUUGAACGCUGGCGGCAUGCCUUACACAUGCAAGUCGAACGGCAGCGGACCUUCGGGUGCCGGCGAGUGGCGAACGGGUGAGUAAUGCAUCGGAACGUACCUUUCAGUGGGGGAUAACGUAGCGAAAGUUACGCUAAUACCGCAUAUUCUGUGAGCAGGAAAGCAGGGGAUCGCAAGACCUUGCGCCGAUUGAGCGGCCGAUGUCAGAUUAGCUAGUUGGUGAGGUAAAGGCUCACCAAGGCGACGAUCUGUAGCGGAUCUAAGAGGAUGAUCCGCCACACUGGGACUGAGACACGGCCCAGACUCCUACGGGAGGCAGCAGUGGGGAAUUUUGGACAAUGGGGGCAACCCUGAUCCAGCCAUGCCGCGUGAGUGAAGAAGGCCUUCGGGUUGUAAAGCUCUUUCGGCCGGGAAGAAAUCGCACAGGCUAAUACCUUGUGUGGAUGACGGUACCGGAAUAAGAAGCACCGGCUAACUACGUGCCAGCCGCCGCGGUAACAC
rnacentral:rRNA from 1 species